UUACAAACUACUCUUGAGUUCCUGUACCAAUAAUUUAGGGAUUUUCACCACUUUGUAACUAGUUCAAGUUUUAUUGCCUGCACAACUAUUUCUGACGAAUCUGACCUUUGGAGCGUUUGUAAGUAACACAAACACAUGCUCAUUUUCUAAACAAGGUGUUGUUAAAAUGAAUCUCUUCUAGCCAAGCCAAGCCAAGCAUGGUGGUGGUUAAAGAUUCAGAAAUCACUUUGCUUCAGUUGAAGAUUUAUGAGCAUAGAAAGCCUUUUCUGCAUUUUGUUAUGAUUUGACCCUGACCUCAUUCUUCUUGGAUGCAAAACACAAAGUGAGUUAUGCUGUGACAUCAGCUCACUGGAAACCUAUAAAAGCUACUCUUGUGUUUAAGUGAUUCAUAUUCUUGCUGUGUAAACCUUGAGUUUCAUGAAGAUGGAUAGGAAAUAUGUUGGUUGCAGGAAGUAUACAGGAGCAGACUUAAAAAUGGAAAUAAGUAGCCAAGAUACUCAACUUUCCACUUUGCAUUUAGGACAAGCACAAUGUCUGGCUUGGAGCUGAGUUACAAAUCUGUUGCAGCUCUUCCUGGAUUGUGCCAUUUCAGAAUGCAGGGAUGGAAAUAAUACAUUUGUAUGUUACAAUGAAAACAAAGCUCCCUGCAGACAUAUCGGUUGGGGGCUUGUUCUUGGUUAGGGAAACAGUCUAGAAGAGGUAUAGCUGGAUAUAUUGAUAUCUGAUUAUUUUUUGCUCCAGGAGUAAUUACUUCAACUGUAAAAUUAAGCUUUCCUCUUUUCUAAAUUCACUUUUCCAAAAAGUAUUUAACAUGUUGCUUUCCUUAAAAUUUAGUAAAAGCAUAAUUUGUGUUGGAAAAAUUGGGGACAUGUUAUUCACACCACUUCAAAGUGCCACACCACUCUUACCAGUAUUGGGAGUAAGUUGGGCUAGUUAAAGGGGUUGUUUAGUGAAGGCUAGAGAAGAAUAAAGUUUGCCACUUGGUGGCAUUGGUGAAGUUAACAACAAAACUACCAGACUUUUAGAAGACAUCUGAAGGCAGCCCUGUUUAGGGAAGCUUUUAAUGUUUAACAGACUAUUGUAUUUUAAUAUUUUCCUGGAAGCCACCCAGAGCGGCUGGGGAAACCCAGCCAGAUGGGCAGGGUAUAAAUAAUAAAUUAUUAUUAUUAUUAUUUGGCUGGUUUGCUUGCCUCCUUUCCCUCUCACUGUGUAUGCCACAGCCUGUGCCAUCACAAAAGACAAGCACAGAUCAGCAGGAAUUAAAAUAGCUCCUAUUGUAUGUUUUUAAAGUCCAAGCUAAGUAAAAAAGAUCUUCACGAGCUGCAGAAAAAAAUUAAGAUAUAGCAUCAGCCAAAACUAUUGAGAGAGUGCCACAACUGAGGAGGCCCUUCCUCUGGCUGAAACUGCCUAAUCUUUGAAGCUGCAGAAGGACUUCAGAAGGCAACCUUUAUAUUUGUCAGAGAUGGUCCUUUAGAUGGUAGAUUGGCUCUUUCAAAUUUCCUUAAGUUCUGCCUCUCUGGCUUAUAAAUGUUGUGAUUUUUAAAAAUACAUGUUCAAAAUGCAGUUAUAACAAGGCUAAUGUAAGUGUUGUAUUUUUAAGAACUGCCCCUUGGGGGCAGAGCAUGGUUAGAGAUUAGAGAAAUCCGCUUCUCUCUCUGUGUCUCUCUGUCUGUCUCUCUCUGUCUGGAUCUUAUUGCUAAUUUAUUGAUCAUUUUGAGAACGUUUAGUUGAGCCCUAGUGAGGGAUUAUCGUUUCUAUGUACAUUGCCCUGUGAAAUGUCAGGGACUGUAAGAGGGAAAGGAAAUAAAAUAUUUCAUUUCCCUUCUGUGGUCUUGCAACUCAGAUUGAACUGCACCUUUUUGACCCCUGCAGCUUGCCGUGGAUAUGGCCAUCUUCCAGAGGUCUCUCACGUUGUCACUUCCUGCCUACCUUCAUUAAGGAAAAAUGGCCGAUUAGAUGGGAAACAUGACAAGAUGUACAGGAUUCUUCUAACCUCAUUAGACAGUGAGGUUGAGGGAGUCCUGAUGAUGCUGAUUGUAAUGGAAAGCUUGGUGGAGAGAGGUCAGAUAGUUGUGUCUGGAAAAAGAGAUGACCGAGGCAUUUAACAGGACACACUAUGGAGAUGUGCAGCAAAUUAAGGGACACACACAGUACAAACAACUUGGGGGAAAAUCCAGCACUAGGUUGUUUUUUUUGGGUGAGUGGGGGUCUUGGGUAAGUGUCCCUGAGUGUAGGCCACCUUCUUUGUACAAACUCUUACCAUCCUCGCUACCAUUGCCACUGGCUGCUCUCAUGCCAGGGAGAGUUCUGAUGAUGUAGGCAGGAACAUCUUUUGCUUAUCCUGCUUUUGGUUGGUGCUGCUUGCUUGCUUAUCUCCUCUGGGCCAGAUGAAGGGUGAAUAAACAAGUAGCAACAACAUGGAAGAGGAGGAGGCAGUGGUGAGAUGUCAGACUCUUCACAGAUUCCUAAACAUAAAGGGCACUGGCAAAUGUCUGACCAUACCUACCCCUGAUGCUGCUCCUGGCUGGAAAAAGAGGGCAUGAAAACUUGUAAGGAAGAGAAAGAAAGAAAAAUCCCAGAAUCUAGAGUUUGUAGUAUUUGAAAAUAUAUUGAUUCCUUUUACUAGAGCAGUUGUUAUCCCAGGCUCAGUAUGUUAGAAGAGCAACAGCAGGGAUCAUUCUGUUAGUAACCUAAGGGUUAACUCUGUUGACUGCUAGACAUCCAGCCAAGAGGGCAGUUGUGGUGUAGAAGGUGUUACCUAGCAACCAGUCAGCGUGGCAAGAUUGUUCCUGAGGUAACUGAAGUUCUGAUGUGCUGUGUAGUUCUGAAGGAGUUGAAUAUCUAACCCUGCUCUUAACAAGGCCUGAAUUAGCAAAGACAAAACAUCUGUCCCUUUUCCCUCAAAUUAUAUCCUGUUUUAAUUCAGUUUACACAGCAAAAUGGUAGCUUAUUUUUUCUCUGGAGUCUGUCUGAGUUAUUCAAGUGCUUCUGCUAGCACUGCAUACAUGACCCCUCUUGUCAUAAUACUAGGAGGAAGGGCAGUAGCUCAGUAGUAGAGCAUCUGCUUUGCAUGUGUCCCAGGAUCCCCAGGUAGGGCUAGGUGAGAACCCUGUUUGAAACCCUGGAGAGCUGGCUGCUGCCAGUCAGUGUAGACCGUUCUGAGCUAGAUGGAUGCAAUGGUCUGACUCUGCACAAGGCAGCUUCCUAUGUUCCUAUAUUAGAAUUCAGGGACAUCUAAUUAAACCAAAUGUUGGAGGGGAAAAAGGAAAACACUUUACACAGCUCAUGGUAUACACACUUCCCCAGGAGACAGUGAAGGCCACCAACUUGGAUGGCUUUAAAAGAGGAUUGGACAAAACCAUGGAGGAUAAGGAGAUCAGUGCUAUGCUUUAUCUCUACUGUUAGAGGCAAGAUUCUUCUGAAUACUAUUUUCUGGAAAUCACAGGUGCUGCCGAGUUCAGACUCUGCUUGUGUUUAUAUGGUUGGUCCCUGUGAGGAGAGGAUGCUGGACGGGCAUUUCACCUGAUCCAGCAGGGCUCUUCUUCAAUCUUUAUGUUCUUGGUAGAAAUGUUGAUAGCCUUAUCCUCUGCUAUGCACUCCCCAUUCUACCAAUAAUCUAUCACAAAGGUGGAUGGGGCAAAUAAAUAAAAUAAUAAACCACAUUGGUAAUGGACUGGAUGUGAGCCAACAAACUUGAGGCCGAAUCCAGAUAAGACUGUUAGUGAGUGGUUCUCUAGACCAGAUGAAUGAGAGUUUGCCUGCUUUUUGGUGGGGUUACAUUCCCUCUGAAAGGGCAGGUACAUGGGGGUACUCCUGGAUCCUUUGCUGUUGCUUGAGGCUCAGGAGACCUCAGUGGCCUACCAUCAGUUUCAGCUGGUAGCCCAGUUUCUGAGCCUAGUUCAAAUUGCUGUUUUUGACUUAUAAAACUCUAAAUGACUCAGGACCGCAAUAUCUCAAGAAUCACCUCUCUUCAUAUGAGGUCCAGAGAGGCAGCAACAGGAGAAUAAGGCUUUUUUGUGGAGGCUUCCCAUUUGUGGGAAGGCUUGUCUGCCAUCUUCAUUACAUAUCAUUAGGUACCAGGCAAAAACUUUCUCUAUAACCAGGCUUCUGGCUGAGUAAACAUUCUAUGCCCUUUUAAAUAAAUAGGGGGUGGGAGGGCGGGCGUGUUUAUUGACUUGUUUUUGUUGUGUAUUUUGUGUUCUCAUUUUGUAUUUUUUAUGUUUACAACAUAAAAUUAUGUUUACAACAUAAUCUUUAGAUGAAAGGCGGUAUGCAAAUGUAAUAAAUAAUAAUAAUGAUUUGAAAUGAAGUGAGCCAAUCUUUUUGCCUUCUGAAAGUUAUUGUGUGUGUGUUAAGUGGUGGGUAUUCUGGAAGAUGGAGCUGUGUUGAAUUAGUGUGCUUCUCAAACUUGCAAAUCAGAUUUUGAGUUUUCAUUUCCAUUGAUGAAUAGUCAAUUUUGAUGUGUGUAGUUCCGGAACUCCAACCUGGAAUUAUUCAUUUUGGCAAAACAUUUAAUUUGCUUCAUGAGCUCUCAUUUUGGCUAAUUCACUUUGACAUCAAGGCAUACAUUUUUGUUUCCAUUAACAUGACGAAGUGUAUGUGUGUGUGUGUGUGUGUGUGUGUGUGUAGCUGCCAAUGAUGGCAUUAAGCUACAAAGUCACAAAAUUUGGAGAAGCCCAGGAAUGCACUGGCAAUCUUUAAGAAUUUUUAAAAUACUGUACAUUUAAAGAGAGUAUUUGUUUUGAGUAUCCAUUAUGAGAAGUUCUCAAAUGGUGGUCCACAGACCACUAGCAGCCUGUGAGCUCCACGCAGCUGAUUUGCAGAAAGCCCAUGGAGUAAUCAAGAAUAUCUGUACUUGAUUUAUUCUUUUUGAUAAUUCUUUUUGAUAAUGGAGAUGGAGGCCAUAUUGACCAGGACUGGAUAUCAAACUGUUACACUGCAGCCUAUCUGCUUCCUGGUGUAUCUGAGUGGGAUUGUUGUGCCCAGUGGGUUUAAAAUAGGGUUGGACAAAUCCAUGAAGGUAGAAUAAAGGCUGGAGGCUAUAUACCUCUGAAUGUUGAUUGCUGGGAAUCACAGGUGGGGAGAGUGCUGUUGUGCUCAGGUCCCUCUUUCAGGCUUCCUAUGGGCAUUUGGUAGGCCACUGUAUUAACAGGAUACUGGACUAGAUGGACUUCUUUUGGGUUGAUCCAGCAGAACUCAUCUUAUGUUCAUCUAAGGCAGUAGAGAGUGGUGCCAAGAUGUUGGAGGACUUCACUGUGCAUGCCACAGAGUUUGUUCUGUACAGCCUAGUCAGCUACCCUUGGUUGUGGUGGAGGGUGCAAUCCUGUCCACCAUUUUGGUUGGCUUCUGUACAUGGAAGGGUGGGGGAACAUUGUCCUUUGUCUCAGGUAGCAAAAUUUUCUUGGGUUCUUAUGAUAGGUUGGCUAGUGUGUAUCCAUCAUCAUAGCCAAAUUGAACUCCCAGUUUCAAAGGCAGUACAGUGGUACCUCGGGUUACAUAUGCUUCAGGUUACAGGCUCCAUUAAACCAGAAUUAGUACCUCGGGUUAUGAACUUUGCUUCAGGAUGAGAACAGAAAUUGUGCUCCGGCGGCACAGCGGCAGUGGGAGGCCCCAUUAGCUAAAGUGGUGCUUCAGGUUAAGAACAGUUUCAGGUUAAGAAUGGACCUCCGGAACGAAUUAACCCAAGUACUUAACCCAAGGUACUACUGUAUGUCCCCAAAUAUCAGCUGCCAGGGAGCAAAAGCAUAAGAGGGGCACUACUUUCAAACCUUUCUGAAGGCAUCUGGUUAGCUACCUUAGGAAACAUUAUGUAAUAGAAAUUGUUUGUGUGUGUUAUCCUAUACAGCACCUCUUAUGAAUGUGUUUCUACACCAGAUGACCUCUUGGCCAACAUUUUACAGAGAUGUUCAUGGACUUAAAUUGUGGGAAAGGUUGGAACCCCAGGUUUACCAAACAUUUGUAAGUUUAAUGUUUCUUGGACAUUUUCUACAACUUAGUUCCACAUGGAUCAUUAUGGUAGGUUGCUUAGAAAACAAAAAUCACUUGUCUCCUUCCUCCCACAUGCCCCUGCCCUUGUAAGGUUGUUGUUGCUGUUGUUGUUUUUGAGGCAUUGGUUGGAGAAAGAGGAUUCAGUCCAUUUGCACCCACCUGCCCUGUUCCUUGGAUGGUAUGGAUAAAGGGGAAGGGGAACAAUGAGAUGGGAAGAAUCCUGUGAGUUUUCUCCUCUAAACUUACACUGCUCACAUGAGUGGACCAUUUCUGCAAGCACUUACAUUAGGAGUGUGGAACCUCAGGCCUAGGGGGAGAAUGUGGUCCUGCCGGCCUACUCUCAGACCAUGCCCCUCUUCCCAAGCCAUACCUCUCACUGGCCCUGCUUUUUUACCCUGAGUUGUGGUGGGUUUGUUUUUGUUUUAAAAAAAUCUGUCUGGAACAUUCCCUUGAACUCUGAUAGUGCCCUUUUCUUGCCUGCUUGGAGGAUAGAGAGGGAUGUGCAAGUGUGUGUAGAAACAAGCCUAUUGUCAAUUUAAGAUUUGUUGCUCUGCCUGAAUCAGUUCUGAACAGAGUGCAACUAGGUUGGUGAAGUGUAGUGUAGUGGGUUUGAUUGUUUGGUUUUUGGAGCUAGGUUCCAUGAAACCUGAAUAGUUGAAGUGGGACUUGGAAUCUCCCCCUUCCAACCUUCUGCAUUAGAGUAUUGAUAUUUAUUUAUUUAUUUAUUUAUUUAUUUAUUUAUGUGAGCACUAUUUUCCUCUGCUCAAUCUUUUAGUGCUGUUUUUUUACCCCACGUGUCAGGCAAAGCAAUAUAAGUCAUUCUUGUGACAAGCUUACAGCCAACACCGUGUACCAAGCACUGACAAUUAAAUAAAAUAAUAUGGAUUAUUAGUGAAAAUCUGCUGACAUAACUUGGCUGGAAAUGCAGGCAUCCUUGUAUUCUUGGCAAACUUCGCUUUGUUGUUUAACCGCUUAAUCCUUUUGCUUCCUGCAUUUUGUAAGCCUCGUGGAAGGCUCAAAUUGCCAUGACUUUCUGGUCAGAAGAGAAGGACCCUGAGGGUGAUGAUGGUUGGCCCCUGAAAUUCCCCAAGAGGUAGACUCUCAAAUGCAGGCCUCAGACUUGCAUGCAGGAGAAGCCUUAACAGAGAGUGAGGCUUCUAUCCUUGGUCGUAGAGGAGGUAAUUUGCUGGCCUCCUGGGUCUCAGAUAACUCCUUCCCUGAACUGCAUGCCAGGCAAGAGAGCUUUCCUCCUCUGCAUUACUAUGCCUGGGGUUUAAAAGAGGCCUUUCAACCUCAACCAAGAACACGUGCACUAAAUAUGCAGGUGUCUAUUCAGAAGUGAGCUGCACUGAAUUUAAGGGGGUUACUUUCAAAUGAAUAUAUGGAUAAUUUUUAAAGGCAUUACUGCUGAACAAUAUGGCUCUUGUUUUGCUAACAAAGUGAAAGUAAUUCCUUUCUGAUUUUACUGUAUUCUGCACAUAGAGAUGCAGAGCACAGAAGCCUACCAAUUGUUGUCAGACAGCUGGGGAAAAAACCCUUAAAAAAGUAAAAUGAUGAUGGUGAGAAUGGUGAAAACAAAUCAAUUUAUGUUUAUCAAAUAAAAUGCUGCCCAUUCCAAAAGUUCUGAAACAGAUCUGUUCAUAUAUCCAUUUGUCCAUCUAUUUUAUGCAGAGAGAGAGAAACAAUUUCAAAAGCCAGAAAAAAUGCAGGGGAAACUAUCAGGGAGAAACUCUGAUAGGAUGGGAAAAUGUGGCAUCUCCAAGAGGUGUUUGGUGGGGUCACAUAAAAUGAAGCUGGGGACCUUUUAGGUCUUGGCCAAUGGUUGACUACCUGUGAAAUAAAACUUCUGUCAGAUCCAGGUCAGCACUGGAGCAGAAUUGCUGACUUCCUACUGAUCUUUGACUAUUCAGACCAAUACUACUUCAUUGGGAGCUAUCCAUGGUUCUGACUUCACCAUCCAAAGUGGCCAAUACCACAAUAAGCCUGCAAUUUGUGCACAUUUAAGUUGUGCACAUUCAGCUUUACGCACAUGGCAUUUUUUUUUUUUAAAGUGUGUGUGUGUGUGAAAAAUAGGAGGGAUUCCAGGAAAAAUAACUUUAGCAAUUCCAAUUGACUAUAUCCAAUUUUGUCUUUUGGCUAAAUCUCCAGAACAUAACCCCUGUGUAAGUUGAGGGUUUAUUGUAAAGAUUCCAGCCCUGAACUGGAGAUAAAUUACAUAGGCCUAGGGUGGUGUAGAUUGUUGGUUGAACUGGAGGGACCUGGGUUCAAAUGAUUACAUAGCCAUGAAGUUCACUCCAGGGGUUAGUCUUUCACCUGCUGUAUUUUAGCCUUGUUGUUUAGUCAUGUCUGACUCUUCGUGAUCCCCUGGACCAGAGCACACCAGACACUCCUGUCUUCCACUGCCUCCUGCAGUUUGGUCAAACUCAUGUUGGUAGCUUCGAGAACACUGUUCAAUCAUCUUGUCUUCUGUCGUCCCCUUCUUCUUGUGCCCUCAAUCUUUCCCAACAUUAUGGUCUUUUCCAGGGAGUCUUCUCUUCCCAUGAGGUGGCCAAAGUAUUGGAGCCUCAGCUUCAGGAUCUGUCCUUCCAGUGGACAUCACUAUUGGGAAAACCAUAGCUUUAACUAUAUGAACCUUUGUCGGCAAGGUCUCUGCUUUUUAAGAUGCUGCCUAGGUUUGCCAUUGCUUUUCUCCCAAGAAGCAGGCGUCUUUUAAUUUCGUGACUGCUGUCACCAUCUGCAGUGAUCAUGGAACCCAAGAAAGAAAAAUCUCUCACUGCCUUCAUUUCUUCCCCUUCUAUUUGCCAGGAGGUCCUGGGACCAGUGGCCAUGAUCUUCGGUUUUUUGAUGUUGAACUUCAGACCAUAUUUUGUGCUCUCUUCUUUCACCCUCAUUAAAAGGUUCUUUAAUUCCUCCUCACUUUCUGCCAUCAAGGUUGUGUCAUCUGCAUAUCUGAGGUUGUUGAUAUUUCUUCUGGCAAUCUUAAUUCCAGUUUGGGAUUCAUCCAAUCCAGCCUUUCGCAUGAUGAAUUUAGCCUAGUCAUCCUCAAAGGGUUGUUGCAAAGAUAACACAAGAAAACCUUAUGGAAGCCAUUCUGAACUUCUUGGAGAAAGGGUGGGAUACAACUAUUUUGCAUUUUUAGAAAGCACAUACCUCCUUAGACUUUUCCAUGUGUAAAUGCAAUCAGUUAGAGUGAAUUAAUCGAAUAAGAACCAGGCAGUGAAUCAGCCUUUUUUUAAAAAAAAGACAAAAAGACUUUAAAUGGCUGGCAGCCUUAGGAGGACAGAAACCAUUUUGAAUUUUGUUUCUCCUCAAGAAGGAAGAUAAUUGUGUUCUGAAAAGCUUGAAGGCUUGAAUUGCUAAGUUUCUGGAUUUUUUUUUUCCAUGUAGAGAAAGGAUGUUGUGUUUGGAAAUCACAGUGGGACAGCCAUGGCAGUGGGACAGUCAGAUACUUAAUUUAAAAUGAAUACAGUUGUAAACAUAUUUCUAGAGUGAUAUUAAUCAGUAUUAUUCCUCUUUGAUUUAUCUUAUGAAAAUAAACUGGUUAAAUGUUAUAAAAUAUUUAUACCCCAGCUCUGAAUUACAGGAAUCCCUGAGGCAAGUUGCAAAAUAAAGUCACAAUAAAACUUUAAAACAGGGUCGUGGAACCUUUCUUUCAGCCUAAAGGUUGUAUUUAUAUAUUCAGCAAUGUAUUUGCUACUUAUCGCUGAGAGCUACUCCUAGAAUUAACCUUUCCCCUCUAGCUCUAAUUGCAGCCUGUCUAGUUUUCAUUCUGCCUUGCCUCACCUUCUCUGUUCUCUUCCACUUAUAAACUUCCUGGGACUUGAUUUUAUUUGAAUGAGCCAGAAGAAGAAUGUGGUGGGAGUCAGCUGGAACUGCAACACCUGCAUUCUCCUGACUGUCUUGGCUCUUGUUGGAUGAAGAACUCAGACUUGGAUUAUUGGCCAACAACUUCAGCACAGCAAGGGUUAAAGGCACAACAGGUGUUAAGCAUGGCUAAGCUAACUUAGACAUUUAUCUGACCAUUGACACAUGCGCCUGGCCACCUGCUUUAAAAGAGCGGGGUGGGCACAGCUUUAGCGUGGCAAGCAAAAAAAUCAUCUUUGGAUUGAGCAAGCUAAUGGGCAAUUCUUCAAGAGGGCUGUGCCUGAGUUGUCUGAUCAUAUUGGAGCUGGUGUCUCUGUGCCCUAGAUGAUAGAGCAGGAGGAGACUUCUCUUCUGGCACCUAUCCUGUGGGUGGGGAGAGUAAUGAGAUGAAGCAAUGGGUGUGUCUGAUAGUACCUGAGUGGGCUUCUCUUCUGACAACCUGCCUGAUCCUUCCCUGGGGUCUGACACCUGUGGUGUCCUUCCCAGAUAAUUCUGAAGCUUUUCAGGCACCAGAUAUGACCCAGCCCAGCCCACUGUGUCCCUCUUCAGGAUCACCAGGCUCCAUCUCUUCAAGCUCCCCCACUCUUCUUCUUGAUCUGACCAGGCCCUCCAAGACAUAUCCAUGGAAAUAAUGGCACUGCAAGGAUUAUUCCUUAGUUUGUAUACCAACUAUACAGUUGUCAACCUUCAUGUGUUGUUAGCCUUCACCUCCCAUAAUCCCUGGUCACUGGCCAUGCCUUCUGGGGUUGAUGGGAGUUGGAGUCUAGCAACAUCUGGAGGGCCUUUGGCUACCCACCAAUGAUGUACACAUUAAUAGUUAUUCCAAUUCUCAGUGUACUGGGCCUUAUGGCACCACACACCCACAAGAGAGACACGUCAGUAGGCUCAGGGGACAAAAAUAUAUAUCUGAUGUUUUUAAAGAAACCCCCAGAACAGCCCAGGGAAUAUGGAUUACUGUUGUGGGGGGACGACAGAAAACCAGGGGAAUGGAAUGGAAUAUCUCUGAAAAGGCCAUAGCUGGUUGGCAUCCUGAACAGAACUCCUCCACAUUGGACCAUUUUUGUUGUGGGUCUUGCCUGUAUUCAUCUAAUGCUUCCCUGGUUUCCAAGCAAUUUGCAGAGUUAUAAUCAAUGCAGGAGGCCAGACUUCUAUUAAAGACCUUUGAAUCAUUUCUCCCUUUCCUCUGUAUUAUUACUUUCAAGACACGAGGUGAAGGAUUGUGAAAUGUUAACCUUCUGUAUUUCUCCAAUCAGAUGCUGCAACAUUAAUUGCAAACCUCUUGAUCUUCUAGAGGUGUUGAAUAGAAUUCAGUUGAUGAAUGAAAUGGUGAUAAUUGGUUAAUGGCUUAUAUUGCCCCCAUUCUACUCUCCCCAGCCUUUUAUCUUAAUUGUCCGCUGAAGUGCUCUGACUAACUUCUUUCAACCCCCCACUUUACCUCAUGUUUCUUCAAUUAAUUUCAGAGACUAACCUUCCCUUGUCAAGAUGCUGGCCCUCAAAACUUCAGUAUUUUAAUGCAUGGUUAUCCUUUUGCUUGGGGUUUAGUCCCUAGCCUUGCAGAAAUGAGACAGGCAGCUACAUUCUCAUCAUUGAUGACACAUACAGGUUAUGAACAGCAUUCCCAACCUGGUGCCUUCUGAUUAUUUCGAACUACAACUCUCUUGAGCCCCAGCCAACACACUGUAGUCCAAAAACAAAAUGACUGUGCUGAUUGGGGCUGAUGGGAGUUGGAGUCCAACAAGAUUGGACAGAGGUUGAUUUAGGGCAGUGUGUGUGGUGUGCUUGCACUAGGCGUGCAGCCAAGGAGGGUCCCUUUUCAAAGCCCGGUAAGCACUUGCCUGGCUUUGGGAAGGAGACUUUGGAAAGGAGGACCCUCAUACUAUGCUGCAAGGCCAUUUAAUGUCCUCCCCCAGCCCUUGUGGCAGCACCUUAAGCUGGGUUUUGGGAGGUCAUGAGGGCUCUGACAGGGUCAAAGAGUCCUCCUGCCUCUUUCCCAAUCUGAGCAAGUGCUUACUGGGUUUUAGGAAGGAGGUAGGAGGGUUCUAGGGAUGCGGGUGGUGCUGUGGUCUAAACCACAGAGCCUAGGGCUUGCCGAUCAGAAGGGGUGAGCUCCCAUUGCUCGGUCUCUGGUCCUGCCAACCUAGCAGUUCAAAAGCAUGCCAAGUGCAAGUAGAUAAAUAGGUACCGCUCCGGCGGGAAGAUAAACGGCAUUUCUGUGCACUGCUCUGGUUCGCCAGAAGCGCCUUUGUCAUGCUGGCCACAUGACCUGGAAGCUGUCUGCAGACAAAUGCCGGCUCCCUCGGCCAGUAAAGCGAGAUGAGCGUCGUAACCCCAGAGUUGUCAGUGACUGGACCUAACAGUCAGUGGUCCCUUUACCUUUACCUUUAGGAGGGCUCUGGGACCUUGCUAGAGCCUCACACCUAUUUCCCAAAGCCUAGCUUAAUCUGCUGCUACAAGGGCUGAGGGGAGGGCAUCAAAUGGCCUUGCACAGGGCAGCAUAGUACUAGGGUCAACCCCAGGUUGUGGAAGAAUGGUCAAGUGAGAGACAGCUUAGAGCAGUAUUGGAGAAGCUGUGACACACCAGGCCCCAACUCCCAUAAUCCCUAAUCAGUAGCCAUGUUGAUUGGGGCUGAUGGGAGUUGGCCUCCACUGUCAAGGGUUCCUUGCCUCUAUCAGGAUCUGGCAUGGUUUGGUAGCCCCAGAUGAAUGAGGAGGAGGAGGAAGGAGGAGGAUCAGAUGUUUGGGGCUGGAAGACUGGCACCAGUGGAUGGCAAAAGGAGGUCUUCCACUUGCAACUCUAGAUGUCUGAGAGAGGAAAGUAGACAUGGUGGCUCUCUUCUCAGCCCUGCUCAUGGAGUGCAGAGUCACACUGGGGAGUGGGGAGGACUUUGACCAGCCAGUCGUAGGGGCUGAGCAGGAGGAGGUAGCAGUGGAGCUGAAGGCAGAGGGGCAGGACACAGUCUUGUCACUGAAAACCAGGUGCCACCUUCAUAGAUGGUAUCAGGUGCAUCUGCAGAUGUGCAUGCAGCAGACUUGUUGCAAGAGUCCUAUGGGUGACCUCAGCUUUAAAAGCUUGAUGGGAUGGGUGUGUCAAUUGUUGGGACAUCUUCAUAGCUUCUGUUUGAUCAUGAACCUCUUGCCUUGCUCAUGUAUUUCUGGCAUGGAUACUGACUUCUGGACCUUGUGCUUGCUGUUGAACCUGUACUGCUAUUAGACCGAAUAAAGAUCUCUCACUUAUUCUUAAGUAAGAGCCAUUAUUGUGGUGUUUUGGGAUGGGAGUCUGACAGGUUCCCCAUCCUUUGAUUGUGAGCUUGUAUUCUUAUCUGAAAAGCAUAAGCAAUAGGACAGCUUGGUGGUUUUGUACAUCCUGCCAUUUUAUAGUUCUUCAACAAGCUUGCCAUCUUGCUUUUUGCUUGCCCUGACUUUAACAGAGUUAUUUUGACUAACAAAUGCAUUUUUAUGCUAAAUGUACACUAGUAUAUGCAUUUUUGUACACAUUACUUAGCUGGAAAACUGCAUGCCAAAAUUCAGAGAAAGGCAAAUUUUGAAGGAUGACUGUGUUUUGGUUCACAUAUUGGAAAAUGAGAAUUAGGUAGAUUCACCUCUGAAUACAAACUGAACUGAAUGCUUCCCAUAUCCUUACCUGUACUUUUAUCAGCUGUGCUGCAGAGGGAAUUUCAGUAGAUACAGCUAGCUAGGCAAGAAAGAAAGAAAAAUCUCCAUUUGCGGAAGUUCUCCCUUAUACCCCACAAUUACAGGCAAUCCCUCGUGGCACAUGUUUGUUGUGCAUGGCAUAGCAUUUGCUAUCCUUAUCUUUGAGCUGGUGUGGCUGGGAAACUGAGCUACAGAUCAGGAGGUCCCAGCACCUGCUUUUCAUAUUUGCAUUGUGGAGGGAAUCAUAUUGAUCUACCUUACACAUUUGUUGGAAGACAGGAUGGUUAACUAGUGGGUCUCCAAAUGUUGCUGGACUCCACUUCUCAUCAUCUCCAGCAUGGCCAAAGGGCAACUGUGGUCCAGCAAUAUUUGGAGGGCCACAGGCCCUCCAUCCCUGCUUUAUAAGUAAUACAUACAUGCUAAGCAUUGAUGGUUUUUUUUCUGCUGCACUUUUUCCAGACACAAUGCAGAAACAGAAGGAACUUUUCUUCAGCUAUCUUUUAGAAUGUUAUUAAGUUGUGACAGGUGCUCUAGGUUCCUCCCCACCCUUAAUGUGUGAUCCGCAGAAUGGCUUCCCUAAUACAGCCUCUCACUGAACACUCUGAUUCCUAUACCAGUUGUGUCUCAUGUCCAUUUUAUAGCAAAGGCAGGGAUCCUGUAGCUCUCCUGAUAUUGCAGGACUGCUGUUCCCCUAAUCUCUGAUGGUUUUCUAUGCUAACUGGGGCUGAUGGGAAUUGGAACCCAUCAUCAUCUGCAGUACUAAGAGUACUUCAUCCCUAUUUUAUAGUUUUUACUUGGUUAAAAUAAUCCCUGUAUGUUUGACAACUGCAGUCUUUGAAUAUUAGCGUUAACUACUACACUUACACAAUUUGAGAGCUGGAAUUGGCUCUUAUAAAUCCAGAGGUGCAUUUAGCCACAGCUGGUGCCAUGUUUUAUCUCUGCUGGCAAGAUGAACUCUCAGUAUGAGCUCUCAGGCUUUUGCCCAUUUGGUUCAUGUAUGGUAACGAGGCGAAUAUAUCAAGGUACACAGCUCCUGUCAGCUUGGUUUUCUAAAAUGGAUGAUCAUUUCAACAAUACCCGCCUUUUGUGGAUUGCUCCUGUCAGGGAAUUGGUUGCAUGUUAGGCUUUGAUUUAUUACAGAAUGUAUCAAAGACAAUUUAAUUUUGCUUUAAUGACAGGGAAGCAAACAAAUUAGAAGCAGAUGUAUUAAUUUACAAAAAUAAUUUUCUCUUAGUGUUGGCAAUUGCACAGUCUGGCUAACGAUUAGUAUUGACUCAUGUCAUAAUAUUGGCUGCUAUUGUCAUCUUGAUUUAUUGUUGCACCAAUGUUCAUGGGUGAAUGUGUUAAGCACGCAUACACAAUUUUAGGUAACAGAGAGAAAUAUUGUUUACAUUUUCCUGCUCAUUUUGUCAUUGUUUAGGCAGAUGGAAGGUGUUCUUCCAUUUUGGUCAAUUAGCAAAGAUGCUCUUAUCCAUUAUUACCAAUAACAUUUUUGCAAUAUGACUGUAAUCAACAGGAGCAUCACACGCUUGUACUGGAGUCUGAUGCCCAUGGUCAUCCCACCAUCAAAGCUCUUGCAACAUGGGAGUUGUGCUUAACAUUGCUGUUUUACCCGACACCUGAAGAUUUCAGCAGCAUGGAGAGUGCGGGACUGUACCUGGAAUAGUCAAAACUUGCAUGUGGAAGGCCUUUUGUUCAAUCUUUGACAUAUUCAGUUAAAAAAAAGGAACAAGGAGCAGGUGAUUAUAAAAAUGCUGGUAUCUGAAACCUUGGUAAGGCAGUGAAUAGGUAAUAUUCACUUCAAGUUUCCAAGACCUUCAAAUUCUAAGUCUCCUUUCCCCAGUUCUGUCUCAUUGGGAGUAAGUCCAAAACACCAGGGACAGUCAGUUCCUUUCAGAGAUGCCUCACAAUUUCAGUAGAGGCUCUUCCCACAAAAAAAUAAAAUAAAAAAAUGAAUCUUCAACUUUAGUGCCCUAGGAAGGCUUAAGUAUAGGUCUCCUAUAUUUAAGCCUUCCUAGGGCACUAAAGUUGAAGAGCAGUGGGCAGGGUAGACAAACAUACACUGUUGAUAUUUGUUGUCAGGCCACAUCCAGUGGCAGCUAUAGAGGACCAGCUUGAUGAAAAACUCCAACAGGGAAGCAAGGAUCACCUUUCUCCAGUCUUUAGGCAGCAGCUUACCCAUCCUAUUUCUUGUGUUUUCACUCAGUUUCCUCUCCAUCUCUGAGGUUUUAUAUAUCCUCCCUGUCUCCCUUCUGUUCCUUUUGCCAAAGACAUAGCAGCUGGGCUCCUUCCCAGCCAUCAGGCACCUGCUGGAGAGUGCUCCGCCCUUCUUCUACAAGGUGGAGUCUCCAGGCAAUUUCCAUAUGUGGCCUGUUCAGGAGUCAUUACCUGGUUGGCGCCUGCUUUUGCAGAUCAGGGCUCACUUAAAGCACUAGAUGCCAGCAAAUGACCAGCAAGCCCUGAUGGCCCAUUCCUCACCUGCUGCAUAUCGAAGUAGAAAUAGAAGCAUCCUGUCGUGAUCAUAUUAAUUCAGUCAUGGAGCACAGCAACACUAUAGUGCAUUCCAAGAGAUCCACUUACUCUAACAAAGCACAGGACUGGACUGAAGCCUUUUAUUCCACCAGGAUCAGAUCACCACCUGAUAGACUCAAUCCCUUCCUUGAGGCCUUAAAUGGACAGGCCUGUGGCUUAGAGCCUACUCUUCCUUUCUGACAAUUCCUUCCAGUUUUAUUGCUUGCAGAUUGUUUGAUGUGUGGGUUGUAUGGGUGGGCAGGAUUCCUUGUGGGAGCCCAUGCUCUAAAAGAAUGGACUCCAGAGGUCCUGAUUUAGGGCCCCCAAAACCUUUGGAGAUCAUGUUGAAACCAAGGUGCUGGGAUUCUAGCACCUCUGCAUGUGGUACAGCAGGUCUGAAGGAUCUGGCUGGCCCUUUCUUUUCUGAGUCAAAGAAGGGUCCAAUGAGACAUAGUACUAAAUUUGUUUGGAUUGGGAUGAAGCACUUCUGUUUCUUUUUGCAAUAUUUAUUAUGGGUUGUAUCCAAUGCUAGUUGUACUCAAGAAUAGACUAACUUAGAUUCAUUAAUUUCAAUGGACCUACUCUGAGUAGAACUUAGCAACAACCCCAUAUGUCACAAUGUUAAGACAACAACACAGUGUGCUUUUCUUACAUUUUUAUAUUGUAUAUAUGUUUGACCGUGUAAUAUAUAUAUAUAUAUAUAUAUAUAUAUAUAUAUAUAUAUAUGUAUAUAGUUGUUGUUGUUGUUGUUUAGUCGUUUAGUCGUGUCCGUCUCUUCGUGACCCCAUGGACCAGAGCCCACCAGGCACUCCUGUCUCCCACUGCCUCCCGCAGUUUGGUCAGACUCAUGUUGGUAGCUUCGAGAACACUAUCCAACCAUCUCGUCCUCUGUCGUCCCCUUCUCCUUGUGCCCUCAAUCUUUCCCAACAUCAGGGUCUUUUCCAGGGAGUCUUCUCUUCUCAUGAGGUGGCCAAAGUAUUGGAGCCUCAGCUUCAGGAUCUGUCCUUCCAGUGAGCACUCAGGGCUGGUUUCCUUAAGAAUGGAUAGGUUUGAUCUUCUUGCAGUCCAUGGGACUCUCAAGAGUCUCAAAAGCAUCAAUUCUUCGGCGAUCAGCCUUCUUUAUGGUCCAGCUCUCACUUCCAUACAUCACUACUGGGAAAACCAUAGCUUUAACUAUACAGACCUUUGUCAGCAAGGUGAUGUCUCUGCUUUUUAAGAUGAUCCUAGCGAUCUCUGCUGUAAAUUAUGCCAUGACUGCAGCUCUCAUUUGCCCUUCAUAUCUAAUCUGGCUCCAUUUCUUUAAUCUGUGCUUCAAGCAUGAUAGAGAUCAUGGACAUUACUUCAGGGCUGCAUCAUGUGGCACUCCAGGAAGCAGUAAAACAAUUAGGAUGCAAAUAUUGUCAGCAUUUCAUUAUGCUGUGGCUGGAGAUUCAUGCCUGCACCGAUAUGCUGUGUUCCAAACCAAAAAGGCUUCUCCUAUAAAAUUGAUUCACCGAUUCCAAGGAGCCAUUUCAGAAGCCUGCUCCCAAUGUUGUUGGUAAUAGAAAAAUAAAUGCAGAGUAAAUAGAAUUUCACAGCAGUGAGACUCACUGGGAAAUCAUCUUUAAUACAUUAGAAGUAGCUUCUUUCAGAAGCAGCAAGUUGUUAAAGGGAAAAGGGAGAGAAAAGGCCCACUUUAGGCCCUGAUAGCUUGCGUCUAACUUGAUAUCUGUUUCUUUUUGGUCCUUUGUUUUGACUUAACAGUUUAAGUAGCAUCAGACCUUGUUCCUCCAAAGUGGUUGAGGAUGUCUGCUUUAAAGGUUGCACCCUUAGAAAUCCCCCCUAAACAUUAUUCUUAAUCAGCUUUUGGAAAUAAUAACAUUAAACCAACAGUUGAAUUGAAAUCUAUAUAAUGAUAAUAUCAAUAUUACACUAAUUAAUCUAUACCAUGGAGGUAUUAAUGACAUUGCAUUUCCAGCCAAUCAUUUUAUUUCUCCAGUGUUCACAUACUGGUCAAGUCUGAAUAGGUGCAUUGUACCUCAGAAAGCAUUGACAACUGUCAUUAUCAUCAAUUGGUCCUCCAAUGGAUGACCCUGUGGACUGCUGCUAUUGAAAAAUGUUGACUUCAAGGUGAUACUCUAUGCUGAAUAAGAUCCAUCUCUGGGGUUUCAUCCAAGAUGGCUUAUUCAUAUGGGCAGCUCCUAAGAAGAGACCUGCUGCAUGUACGGCUCAUGUAGUCCAGCAUUCUGGUCUCACAGUAGCCAACCAAAUGCUUAUGUUCCCAAAAGCAGGAAUGGAAGGUAGCAACACUCUCUUCACUUGUGAUUCCCACCAACUGACAUCCUGCCUCCAAUAUCGCUACUGGACAAAUGCUAAGUUAUAGCAUGAAAACUAAUGUGCACACAGAACUAGCUACUAUAAUUCAGCAAAGGAGAUCCACCUGUGCAGUGCUGAUGAACAUCUGGAUGUGCAUUUUUGGCAGAGAAGGCCCAUAGCCCAGUGGUAGAGCACCUGCUUUGCAUGAAGAUGGUCUCAGGUGCAAUCACUGGCAUCUCCAGGUAGGGCUGAGACAUUUCCCUUUCUGAAAUCUUUGAGAGUCAGUGCCAAUCAGUGUAGCAAAUACUGAGCUAUAUGGAUCAUGGAUGCUCCUCUGUGUCAUGACCUCAACAUACAACAGUGACCCAGAUAUGGACAGAGAGGCUGUCGGACAGGGGUGCUGAGUGAAGAGGCACUGGGACCAAGCCCUACCAUUGAACCCCCCCCCAAAAAAAACCCCACUUGGGAGCUCUUGAGACUCCCAAGCCUGGAAACUGAAUCCCUCAAGGGCCUCACACGCAGAGGGAAGGAAGUGUUAGUCUUCAAGACAAGUGACUAUGUACAUACUGUAAAGCACAUUCAAAGCACAGUUACAUCUGGGCACUAGUUUAUUAAGGGGCUGCUGGGAAUUGUAACUCUCUGAGGGGUAAACUACAGCACCAAGAAUUAAUUGAGGGAAAGUGUGAUUUGGAAAUGGUUGAAAGGUGUAUCAUGUAUGCAAUCAAAUAUGCUUCAUUUCUGAAGGGAAUGGGGACCGAGAAAGUCAGACAGGCGCAGGGAGCAUGAAAGGAGUCAGGUGAGAUGGCUUCCUUGACUCUAUCCAAGGUCCUGAAAGAUCUGCUUCAAACUGCGCUUGCUGGUAUGUGGGAUUCUUGUUCCUACUCGUGCCACUCAUCAGACCUGCAGUCUCCUGCUUGUGGGAUUCACUACACCAGAACUGGACAUCCUGUACUUUGCUUCUUCUUCUUUUGUUACUGAACUGCUAAUAAAGCAACAGAUCUGACUGGAAAGGAAAGCAGAUUCAGCCCAUUGAUCAGGACAACACUUGCGUACCUAAUUCCUCCCUUCUUUUUCUGGUCUUCUGUCCUCUAGUGAUUGCUCAGGUAGAGUUAUUUAUCAUCUUGCUUCCACAGGCACCACAUCAUCAGAGUGAUGUAGCUCUUGUGAUUUAAUAGCCAUUUUAGGGAGUCUGGCAGACUGCAUCCCAGAAGGAGCAGGAAAUGCAUUCCAUCAAGCUGUUUGACAAUGGAGCUGGGAUGUAACAAAUGAACAAAACUCAUUUGGCAUGAAACUGAUUUGGCUGGAGAAGCAAGUCUUCACCUCUGUGAUGAGACAGCAAAAUGUGUCCACUACCCUUUCCACAGGUAAUGCACUUGGGAGGCAAAGAGUGAUGGGAUGAAUGCAGGACUAACAGUGCAAUCCUAGGCAUGCCUGGGUUCAACAGAACUUACUCCCAGGUAAGAAUGGAUAGGAUUGCAGUCAAGGUUAACUCAGGUGUCAUCUACACUAUAACUUUAAAGUAAUAUCACAUCAAUUUAAUGGCUUCUCCCAAAGAAUCCUUAAAAUGGUAGUUUGUUAAGGGUGCUGAGAGGUUUUAGGAGAUCCCUGUGCCUCUCACAGAGCUACAUUUCCCAGAGUUCCCUAGAAAGAGGGAUUGACUUUUAAACCACUAUGCAGACCAGCUGUAAGAGGUGAAUAGGUGUCUCUUAACAACACUUUGGGAGAAGCUAUGGUGGCCUGAUACUGCUUUAAAUGCAUAGUGCUGAUGGGGCCUCAUACGGAGAGUGACAGAACUUGGUAAAGCAGUUGAAAGGGAAAUAUGCUUCUAAGUGCUUUACAAGCACAAAAACCAGUCACACAAACAUAAAAAUAUAAGCAUGCAUAAUUAAAAAACACAAUAAAACAAUUCCAUCAAAAUAUUAACAUAUAAGCAGCUAUAACUGAAACAUGUAAUAAAAACAAUGCAGCAACUGAAACAGGUGACGGGUCAAGAGAUAAAGGGGAUGCCUGUAUAAAUCAGGUGUAGCUGGAUAUCAUAUUUUCUUUCUUUCUUUUUUGAAUAUAUCUUCUAUACUGUGGUUGUGAAAAUGAAGGACUAAGGGCUCGUCCAAACUUUGCUUGUCCUGCACCUAGAAAGCAUGAGUCUGAGAGGUUUUCUGCUUGUCCUAUGAUUUUUAUACAUGGGUCAGGGCGGUUUUCCAUUUGCCCAGCUGAUUUCUCCUGGAAAACCUGCUCUUGACCACUGAAAUGAGCAAACGUCAGUCCUGAUUGACUGAUUUGCUUUGGUUCAGCAGUAAUGAGGUGGUUUUCUAGGGGGAAAGUGGUGGGACUAGCAAAAGUGUGGAUAACCCUAACUCUUGGCUCUGUUACUUGUGACAGUUCUGAAAUGCCACUAUAGAGGAAAAAGCACCUUUUUGAAUUACUGGUCAGGGCUACUUACCAGUCACUUGUAUCUGUUUCUUUCUCACACCCUGCAGACUUCAUUCACAAAUAAUGGAGGAGGAAAAAGACAAAUCAGCUGCCAUUUGUCAUUAGCUCCUUACUUAAUAACUUCUGAUCCUGUCCAGUUACAGAAGUGACAAUCCAGCGUAGAACACAUUGCUCUUCCUAUUCCCAAGAGGAGCAACAUGGAUGUGGGAAGGAGCCACAGCAUGGUAUUCUUCCAUAUGAUCUCAGACUCAUAACCCUGAGCAGCAUGGGAAGGAGUUUGCUAUCUGCAGUGUCUCUGAGAUCACCAAAUGUAGCAGGGAUUGUCAACCUUUCUGGGCCAGCGGGCACAUUUUGAAUUUUGAGGAAGUGCCAUUAGCACCAGUUCCAAAAUGGCUGCCAUUGGAACAACACAGAAAUGGGCGCUGCACGUGAAAGAGCAGAAAAAGAGACAAUGCCCCCAAUUGGUGCAAGUAUCCAUCAUUAGGGGAAGAUGAACCUACACCAGCCACUACUGCACUUAGUUGCAGAGAAAACUCCUUUUACCUCUCCUCUGUUCAGCAUGAGAUGCAUCGGCAUCCUGACAUCCAGUGAAAUGGGGGCGUGUUUAAGAGGGCAACUUCAAUUUAGGAGGUGCCAAGGCAGCAUGGACACAAACUAACCAAGAAGAAUAGUCUCCUGUGGCUGUGGAUUGUGAGGGGAUCUUUACCCAGGUGGUAAUGGCGGGUGCAGUGACACCCAUGGGUGCUGGAAUGUCAACCCUUAAAAUACAGUGCUGGAAAAGCCCCUAAUUGACUUGUUAGCUACAGGAGAAGCAAGUGGCCAUGUGUGUUUUAUUAAGCGGAAUGCUGUUUUCUCUGCUAAAUUGCUUAGUUUGGCAGCGGAAAUUAGUUCUACUGCUGCCUUUAAAGAACCAUUCGGCAGAUUAGCUGUGUUGAUCUCCUGUAUUCUGUCUCCACGAUAUUCCUUUGAAAUAAAUUUUCAUUCUUAAAGUCAUUCAUCAAGGUGGGCGGGCUUUGUAGAAAAAGGGCGCAGCACUGUCAGUCACUGUGACUCGUUUCCAAAGUUGCUUGCGAAGUCAUCUUAUAUCCUGUUGCACAGAGAAGACAAUGCUGUGGAAAUGAAAAAUGAGUUUGUGUAAAAAGUUAUCUUCCCUCAAAGAGACUACGGAAAUAGCAUUUCACAGCAGGGUUUAUU